CACAGGCUGAUUUGAUUGAUUAUUGGAAUUUUUCUUCCUUUAUUUUCCUUUCCCUUUGGUUUUCGAUCUGUGUCGAGGAUGGAGCCAAGACCUUCCACGAUAGCGACUUGCUUUUCCCUGUUUUUUAGUUCUAGCCACGAAUGAGCUGGACGGAGAGGGAAGGGAAGGGAAGGGUCCGCAAUCUACCCAUUUGCUGAAGCCAAAUAUUGAAACCCACAAGAAAUUGAUAAUACUAGUUGCUUGAAGUAAUGUUCAACAUGACAAGCUGCAUGCAUUAUGCGGAGUCAACGGAUAGAAAAGGUGUUUUAUUUUGGUUACUUUCUUUUCUUUUCCUUUGUUAACCGCUCAUAAAGGAAAAAAAAGAGAAAGAAAGAAAGAAAAAAGAAAAAGCUGCUUGGAUUUUCAUCAUUCUAAAUUUUUAUUUGUCUGUCUCCUCCUCACUAAGGAAGACUUUAUUUUCUUGCUUCCUCAUUCAUCCAUGCGUGCUUUCUCUCCAUAUCAAAAUGAUCCAUGCCUUUGUUAAGGGCCGUUGAUUCAUUUGAGCGGAUGUUGAAACAGGCCAAGAUACAGAUAUACUGACCCGAAGAUGGAUGAAACCAAUAAAUGGAUGAGAAAACGUCAGCCCCAGCAUGCAUCUCCCGGGCAAUGACAAUGACGGUGGAGGACCGACCUGCUUGUCGAUGACGGAAAAAAAAAAAAAAAAUAACGGUGAGAUUUUCUUUUUCCUCGCCCCAGACAAUUCAUUCGCCGUUUUGCUUUUGCCCAAUCCUGCUUGGGGUUGAUGUUGAUGAUUUCAUACAUAUUUUUUAAGCUUUGAAAGCAACGAGCGGUUUCAAAUGUUUAACUUUAAAUAUCUGGGCGGUUUAGUAACAUAUUUAAAAGGGCAACGCUGGAGGGGUUUGAAAGGCUAUGUAGAGUUUUAACAGGUUUACCGAGUACAUGCCUAACAGAACAGACUGACUCGAACAGGCCGACUGGACAAAGUUGAUGGAAAUGCUGAGAUAACUACAUAUCAGUACAACUCAGCACUAAGGAACCGCCAUUCAUGCCGCCCAGAAAAUUGAUACAGGUCGAGAAUGGACUGUAUAUGCGUAGUACCCUUCGCCAAGCUAGUAUGGAGAUAGAUCUAUGGGCUCCCACAAACAUUAUAAUUUCAUAGGUCCGUAAGGAAGCUAUCGAUCUGUAUCCGGAAACGAAGAGUAGA
rnacentral:sRNA from 2 species